GGAUGCAUGUCUUUAUUUAAUUCGUUCAUUCCAGGUUCAUCCCACAUCUUCACAUCUCACCCUCCCACCGUCAAAACAGGUCCCAUGUAACAACAGGGGGCCAAAAACAACAGGCUUGCCCACAGUCUCCAUCACCCCCUACCCCACGGAACACUGUGGGGACAACGGUACCUUGCUUGAAAGCCACAGGUUUCAAACACUUUUAGGGGCACAACUCUCUUCAAACUGGAAACCACGAGCCACUACGUAGAACAGGCUGUCAGGGAGUUUCAACCUGGGCAACAUUUGGGGUACGUCCCUGGAGCCCCAAGUUCCCUCAGAGCAGGUGAAAACUCCUGCUUCAGAGCCCUUCUUUCUAUCCAAUCACUUGAAACGUUCCAUAGAAAGAAGAAAGAAAAAAGAACUCCCUUCUUGAAAUGCGAAUACCAAGAUUUCGCACGACCAACACUUCCACCUGUUGAAAUAAACAGUCCACAAAAUUAAGGCAUUUGGGGGCAAUUAGAGGGAAGUAAAGCAUUUACUAAAGUUACAAUAUCAUAUCAAAAGUGUUCAUUAUGCUUUUGAAGGCUCUUAACUAGGCACAAGGGCAGAAACAGUCACGGUCCCGGCCACUGCAGGCAAACACGUGUUGAUUACCAAAGCAGAAAGGGAAACAGAGAGCUGGUGGUGAGCAUUCUCUUCAGCAGGUCCCCAGGCACCAGGCCCCCCUCCAAGUCAUGCCUCACAUGCCCAACAGCAAAGAGAAGCAGUGGGAGCUGAGCAGACACUGCAGGGCAGGGCAGGGCACUGCUGGCUAAAUUACAGCAGCAACUGUACACACGAAACAGCUUCUUCAUAAACACCAUUCUCAAACUGGAUUUAUGCACAUUCAUACACUACCUAGUAUAUCUAAGAGAUCUUGAAAUCAAAGCAACAUAAAAAAGAGAGACUCGCCUGCAAUCCAGGCACUGAGCAACGACAUGUCAAGGCAACAGAAAUCCCCCUCCUGCCCCCACUCACUUCUCCAUCCCACUGUCUGCUGAGAAUUUCUAGUAUUUAUUCCACACAUCACUGUACACUUCAAAAUCUGCACAUUCCUCUCCGUGGAAUUCUCCUGGGAUGUGAAUCCCACCCACGUGCAUCAUGUACACAUCUAAACUGUUUCAUUCCACACUGAGAGGUUCGGGUUUGGAGCGUUCAUUCCACACUGAGAGGUUCGGGUUUGGAGCGUUCAUUCCACACUGAGAGGUUCGGGUUUGGAGCGGGAGGAGGGGAGUGAGGCAUAAGUGAGAAAGGAGGUCACAUGGCCCAAACAGGUACUUCCAGGAGGCCAAUCCCAGCCGGUAGGGAUCCAGGCCCCGGGAGGCCAGGCCUGCUUGCCGAGUACCGACGGCCAGGUGAGGAGGCAGAAGCUGUAGCCCCAGAGCCAGAAGACCCACACUAGUGUCAUCACCAACAUACAGGGGGGCCACAGGCUCCCAGUGCCCAGGUUAAGGUGCAGUCCUCACCGAGAAGGCCACAUCAGCUUCCUGUGAGUGUGUCCCAUGGAUCCAGGGGUGGCCAGAGGCCCAUCACCACGGGUGUUGGCACUUCCUAAAACCGCACGCAGCGAUCUCCAGACUCGUUCUUGGCCAUGAGCAGCAGAAAUGCUGCAGUGCUGCCUGCCAGCGUACAGGCUGUUCAAGAACCCAAGAGGAAUUUCUCACCAAUACGUAAACAUGCACCACAGCUAGACUGCGGUUCCGUGACUUUGGGAUUUCAGAGACAGGCGAACUUAAGAAGAAAUUCUGGGGCUGACAAACAGCAACCAACAUUUUGUUUUGCAACCAAGAGCAUUUCAAAAAGCAAAAAUAUUGCCCUCUACUUUUACCUUCAUUACAUAAAAGGA
rnacentral:lncRNA from 10 species